ensembl:lncRNA
CAUUAAACUCCUGAGCCAUAAUGAUCCAGAGCCCAAAGGGACUCAUAGCAUCAUAGAAAACUGUAAACACAAUCUGCUUUCUUUUUAUAUGUUUAUUCAACAAAGUAAUGAUGUCCAUCAACGAUGUGCAGUUAGAGACAACUCAGUUUUGGAAAUCAUAGCACUUGUAGGCAUAGCUAUCAGCCCCCUCCCACCCACCUUUUUUGCACUUAAGACUCCAAAAGCCUUUGUGAGAUUGGGGUUAUAAACACUGGUCUUUUAAGUUGGCCACAGUCUUGUCUGUAAGUUACUAGCAGGAGUGGCUGCAGCGGUGGCUCGGGGGUUAAAAGCAUUUGCCCUUGCAAAGGAACCCAGUUCCAUUCCUAACAUCCACGUCAGGCAGCUUACAAACUGCCUGUCACUCCAGCUGCGGUGGAUUCGAUGUCCUCCACUGGUCCCUGCAAGAACUAUACUCAGGUGCACAGACCUAGACUUAUAUACACAUAAUUUAAAAAUAAAUAAGAUAUGCAAAGGACCUGUCUAAAAAAAAAAUCAAAGCUCUGAAUGCCAUUGAGUUUGUUGUGUUGGCCGUCUACUACUGUGCAUGGAGCCUACCCUUAAGAGUAGAUUUAUACCCAAUGAGACUCCCUUGGAGAGAACCAAUUCUUUCAUUCGUGAGUAGUUAUCAGCUGAACAUAGCUUCUGGGUUAGGGUGUGGGUCUGUCACUGGACCUUCUUUUCCACAGGCUCUUCUCCAUUUCCAUCCCUGCAGUUCUUUCAGACAUGAACAGUCAAAACUUUAAUUAUUUUUAACACAUACACAAAAUUUUAGGAAGAAACCUGGGAGUUAGGAAUAGGCUUAUUUUGUAGUAAUAGUAAUUAUUUUAUGAGUUAUCUUCGAACUUACCAAGUUGUGUACAACAAUUAUAUAUGAACCUUUCUGUAUAUAUAUAAAAUAUUUUAAGAAUUUUUCUUAAAUAUAAGCUAAAUUAGAGAAGAUAACAUAGGAUGUACCCUGUGGAAAUAUAUUUUUGAUACAUUGUUACUAAUCAGUUUUCUGUUAUUACAAUGAACUACCUACUGCUGGGUACUUUGAAGGGAGUCUCUUUAGCUUUUAGUUCUGGGAGGUUUGAAGACCCUUGGCUCUGAUGAUGGACAUGUGAAUGGCGUUACGGGGUUAAGAGUGUGUGAAAAGAGGAGAGACCGCACUGCUAUUCCAGAAACCAGAGAGACUGGCAUACCAUGACGUCCAUGUUAAUCCCUCUGACCCCUGAUGACCUACUGACCUAAUAACCAUCCGUUAAAUGUUCUUUCACCUCUGAACACUGUCAUAAAUUUAAAAUCCCCAACACAUGAGCCCUUGGGGAGUCAUACACAAACCAUAACAUGUCAGUGGGUAAGGAACACUUAGGACUUUAUGACACAGAGAAUGGCAAUCAAGAAGUUUUCAAAAAGCUCAUUUUUUUUAAAAGAAUAGACAAAAAACUGGAGAAAACUCUAGCUUAUAUGGUGGCUCAUUUCUUCAAGGUAAUGAUCGCAGGCUACUCAAGGUGCCCUUUUGAUAGGACUGAACACAACUGACCCAUAAGAGCCCAGGAGAGCAGAGUUUAGUGGCCCACAUUUGUAAUCCCAGAAUCACAAACAAAACUAUCAUGAUAGCAUCUCUAGCAAUCAACCUGAUGAGAAGGAAAAGCCCAUUUAACAGCAUUAAUAAGAACACCAACAGUGGGAACCUUCAUCCACUCUUGAAGUAGAAAACAUCCUUUUGGUUAACUAUGAGAGUAUUUCAGGAUUCACUUAUUUCCCUUUUUGAGAUCUUUGUGUUUAAGACAGACUCUCACCAUCAGUGUCUAAGGGUGGUUUUUGUCUUUUCUGACAUGAUUCUGAUCAAGUGACAUAUACAAUAGUGGUUGAUUUGGUCAGGUGUGUGUGUUUAUUAGAAAUCAAAAAACGAACCCUAAAAUUUGGUCUUAGAGCCUAGGGAACAGAGAAAAAAUUCAAAAGCCAUAUUCUGAGAUAAAAAAUCGGAUCCUCAAGGCAUUAUGCACAAUCUGUAGUUUUUCCAAGGUCCAACACAAAUCGAAGUUUCCAAAUAUGGGCUGAACACUGUCGUUACCGUGCCUGCCUCUGUAAAGAAAAUGAGCCACAGAAAGUAAGAGACGAAGCGAGCGAUGCUGAAGAGAGAGAAGAGGACAGGUACAUAGGAGCCAGGUCCGUGUUUGACUGCAUUGGCCCGGGAAACCUUCUCGUUUGGACAGUUUCGUUUCUUCAGCUCUGCCAGUCGUCAGUCAAGUGAUCGUGAUGUAGGCUAUUAUGCAUCUUCACUAUGUCAGGCAUUCUGCUCGAUGUUGCAGAUUGAUGCAACCGUCAAACAAUUAAAUGAUCAUUCAAUAAUUAAAGUGUGCAAAGUGAGGAAAAGUACAGGAUAUUUGAGAACCGACUAGCAGAGGAGCAAAUGUGGAAGAGAGAUGUAGGUCAGGGAAGGGCUCCACGAGGACAUUUGUUCAGAUGUACUCUGAGGAUGAGUAGAAAUCACACACAUAAUGACUGGCAUGGGGGAAAUAGGCCACUAUAGAAACCUUGUGGGUAUUCAGAACACUGAGAUAGGAUGGAAUAGUGUUCUUAGAUGAACUGUUUUUUGACUGAGAGAAUGAGUCAGGAACAGUCAAAAGAAAGGAAGCCAGAGCUUCUGAUAUGUGUCUUGCCAGACAUGUUGAAAUUCUGGACUUGACUGUGCAGUUACUGGGAAGACUUGAACAUCAGGCAGUAAUAUCACAUUUUCAUUUUUAAAAGAUUAUCUUGACAGGGUGAGGCAAUGCACACUCAGGAAAAUUCUAGCACUUGGGAGACCAAGACAGGCAGACUUCUCUAAGUUCCAAGUCAGUCUAGUCUUCAUAGAGUUGGAGAUCAGUCAGGACUGAACAGUGAGACCCUGUCUCAACAAAGAAGCAAACACAAGAAGAAAGCUUAUUCUGUUGACAUUUUAG